rnacentral:rRNA from 1 species
AUGAGCAGACCACCUGUAGAUGGAGCUUCAGAGGUUAAUACUGAUACUCCAAUAUCUGAUGUGGCUAAAUCACCCAUUAUCCCUUUAACUUUGAUUGCCGAGGUUGCUUCGAGCCUUGAGAAUGUUUCAAGCCUCGAGGAUCUUGCUUCUGCAGUUCUUGCUUCACCUAAUGUGUCCAUAGAGGAGGAAGCUUUCAACACCGUCAACAAUGUUUUAUCUGAGUUGGGUUUAUCAAAAAACCCUGCUACAGCUGAGGAGGGGGCUCCCUCAGUCAAAGGUUGUGAUUCCGUUCCGGAUCCUUUGUGCUCUCUUCAGAUGUUAGAGACGCAGUCGCAGUCUGUUGAUGGCAAUGAACCUAUCACGCAACCCGAGGAUGUGCCGUUUCAGCUUCUCCUGGAGGACCAACGUAAGAGGAAGAAGCAAGAAAAUUUUGACAAGAAGAGGGCGGCCUACCUUGAGAAAGGUUCUGAUGUUCCUGGAUCUGUUCAUGCGGCUGAGCUCACUGUUGAGGAAGACAUGUCGUGUGGUAGUGAUGGCACGGUUGUCCCUGUUAAGAAGAAAAUCAAGAAGACUACUACGAGGAAGCUAGUAGUUGGUGCAGUUACUCCUCGGAGGAGCCCACAUGUUUCAAGGCAUGCAGAAGUUGUUGAAGAUGAAGGGUUAGGCCUUGGUGGUACGCCACGCCGUAGUCCUCGUGUGCUUGCCACUCCCGCGCCUACACCUUCUCCACUUGGUGCUCGUGCAUCUGGUAAGGGGAAGAAAUGCGGCGUGAAGCGCAAGGUUCCACCUGCAAAGGUCAACAAGGGUGUGAAGAAGUGUUCUCGUGUCAAUCCAGAGGACAAGGAUGAUGCUGAUUUCAAUGUUGAUGGCGAGGACGACGUCGAUGAUGAUGCUGCCGCUAAUCAGUAUCAGCUUGUGCAGCGGCCUGAGAGGAGGAAGAGAGGAGGCAAAGCGCCCGAAGAAGGUGGCCAAGGAGGAGGUAAGGCGAAACAUUUUAACAAGACGGUUCGCUGCUCACUAGGAGAGGUCAAGACGUGUGCGAAAAUGCUACAAGAUAGGCACAAGGCGAGGGUUAUCAAGGCUGGUUUUGGUUGUGUGUUUGACUUGAAGGUUGAUUCCAACAUUUCUCGUCCUUUGAUGGGCAACAUCUACACGAGGAUUGACCCUUCAACCAUGGUUUUGGACAUGGGUGAGGUGAAUAAGGGAAAGCCUGGGUAUGCUAGGAGUGACGACAUCAAGACAAAGGAUUUGCGGAAUAUCCUCGCUGAACUUGUGAAGGAUGAGACAAAGGAUGAUCUUGCUCUGCAGGUGUUUUACCUUAUUGUUUUCAUGAAGGUGGUUAUCCCUGGAACGUCUACACGAGUGUCCAGGGAGGCAGCAAUUGCCGAGAACCUUGUGUUUGAGGAUAUGGCAGACAUGGACUACUGCCAGUUGGUUGUUGAAGAUAUUCGGAGUGCUGUUGUUAGGUAUCAGCAAGGUACUAGCAGAGGAAAAGCUGUUACAGGCUGUGCCAUCGCGCCGCUUCUUAUGUAUCUGGACUGCCUUAUCAUUGGCAAGAUGCCUAGUAUUGACUUGAGGACCCCUCGCAUCAAUUUCAUGGAUCGGGCCAAGCUUCUUGAGCUUGCUGCGGCUGACUUGGUCACGAAAGGUGAUGAUGACCCAGCCAACUGGGUGUUUGGGAGACUGCCUUGGAAGACACAGGAUGAGGUUGUGUUCUUUAGGGUUAUCGAACGUCAUGUUCUAACUAUGCCUCAUCCAGGAGGUUCUUCUGCCCGUGUGAGUGCUGCAGGUGGAGUUUCUUGGGAGGAUUUGUUUGAAGCUGCCAAUGUUUCUCUGGUUAGGAUUAACAGUCUUCUUGAAACUGUUUGUGGGGAGUUGGCUCGUGUUCCUUCAACUGCUGAGCGUCUUAGUCGCGUUUAUGGGAUUCUUCCUCCCGGGCACGGGUUUGAUGCUGAGUCUUCGAAGGAGGUCUUAUGUAUUGAAGCUAAAUUUCUUGAAGAGCUUCGUCAGAGAACUUCCCACCUCCGGACUAGCGUCGGGCUGUUCAAGGAAAUGCAGGAUGCUCGUUGCAAGCCUUUUGAAGAUGAGGCAAGUGUUGUUGUGAGACAGAUUCAGAGGCAGGAUUCUGUUCGUUCGGGUCGUGAAGGAGGCCACGUAGAGCAUACCAAAGAGGAUGUUCAUGAUGAUGCUAGGGUUGAGGAGGAUGUUUUACCUGCGCAUGAAGCUGCUCCUGUGCAUGAGGCUGCCCCUAUGCAUGAACCUGCUCCUGCUAGUGGCAUAAUAGUUGAUGAGGUUCAUGGCAGUGAAAAUGAGCAGCAGAAUGAUGAUGUUAGUGUUCCUCCAGAGAAGGUUGUAGACAUGUCCGUCUCAAGCACCGGCUGCUCCGACGGGGUGGUCCUGACUGAACCUCAGUCGUCCAUUGUCGCCGAGGUUUCAAAUGCUGAGCAUGGCAAGACAACUGGAGACAUCAUUUUGGAGAAAGAUGCUGUUGAGUCUACUGUUGAAACUGGUGGUAGUGCUGCUGCAAGCCCGGAGAAGUCUCCUGCAGCAGAGCCAUCAGUUGAUGUUAAUGCUGUACAGGCACAACCAAAAGUUUUUCUUGUUUCAGAUUCUCCAGCUGCUCUAGUUGUUGCUGGUGUCCUUCCUGACGACGCUGCAACGUCUGCUGGAGAUGACGAUGAAGAUACCGAAAGUGAUAGCUAUGGAGAGGAGGACAAGAUUUUCAGAGGUCAAUUUGAUUCCCGUGUGAGGAAGUACUUCAUGGCGAGUGGUCCAGAUAGCAUGGAUGCACAUGAUUUGGUUGUUUUCCCUACAUUUUACCCGCCUGAGCUUCCUGCUUCCAUGGGUGGUGUCGGUCAUUGGGUGUCGGUGUUCCUUGACCUGAAGAAUUCAAGGUUCCAGCUUCUCGAUUCCUACUCUGGACCAAAAUAUGAAUGUGCGACGUGGAUGUACUCAAUCGCUUCUUCUAACCUAUUUGAGACAGACUUCCAAGCUCUGUUUGGCUACUACACAUUGGAUCCGUUGGAGUUGACCGAUUACCACUACUCAUUCCUCGGGUCACAGGAAUACCAGCCUAGGGAGGAGCCGAUGAGUACAGCUCCGAUAGAAGAUGAUAGACCUCGGACCCUCAUUCCUUCCAAGUUGGGGAAGCAGGCUAGUGGUAUUUGUGGUACUCCAAAAACCCCGUGCUACAGGAAGGCUGAUGCAGUCGAAGCAGCCGAAGCAGAAGUGAUUUCGUCCGAUGAUGAUUUUGAGAAGAUUGCUUACCCGAAGAAUGCUAAAUGUGCUGCUCGUACUGUUUCUAGUAGAGGUGGGAAGAAUGUUGUCAUCACCAGGAGGAAACCGGCAGUUGAGUCUGGGAACAUAACUUCCUCCAAGAGAGCAUCUAGAUUGCCUUUGAAGUGGCGUUCUCCUGUCGCUCCCCUGAAAAAAUACAGUUACCCUCAUCUAUCCGAGGCCCGGAAGUUGAAACAGUAUGUGCUGAGUAAAGACGGUCUGGAGAAGUAUUCUGAGACAAGCUACUACAUGUUUACCAUCCCUGCGAAUGUGAUUGACCUCACAGGAUGUGUCCUUUAUACGCUUUUCGGUGAAGGGCGGCAGAUGGAAGGAGACAUAAUGGAUUAUCUCAUAAAUUUGUGGAAGGAUAAGCCGGAGACCUCUGAGAUAUUCACUAGUGCUAACAGGGUUGUACUUAGUCCCUACUUCAUACAGUACUGCCUGGAGUAUGAUUUCUACGCCGCAACAGUUCCAAAGUUUGAUGCAAAAAAAAUGCUGGUCUCCUCCCAAUAUUUGUUCACAAGGAAGAAGACCUUCUUAACGCAAAGCUGAUAUCGUGGGAGCAUUGACAUCCUUGAUUCACUUUCUUAUGAUAAUAUGGAAACGUCGCGAUCGAGUUUCCACGGGGACUGCCAAAAUAUCAUGAAGAGAUUUGUUGGGUUGCUCGAGGAGGUGUACGGCAAGGCUGCAUACAAGGCGAGCAAGCAGCCUAACUGGGUGACUAUUGCAAAGAGGCCGACUUUCAUCGAUGUUCUGAAGUAG